GAUGAAGAACGUAGCGAAAUGCGAUAAGUAAUGUGAAUUGCAGAAUUCAGUGAAUCAUCGAAUCUUUGAACGCACAUUGCGCCCGCCAGUAUUCUGGCGGGCAUGUCUGUUCGAGCGUCAUUACAACCCUCAGGCCCCCGGGCCUGGCGUUGGGGAUCGGCGGAAGCCCCCUGUGGGCACACGCCGUCCCUCAAAUACAGUGGCGGUCCCGCCGCAGCUUCCAUUGCGUAGUAGCUAACACCUCGCAACUGGAGAGCGGCGCGGCCAUGCCGUAAAACACCCAACUUCUGAAUGUUGACCUCGAAUCAGGUAGGAAUACCCGCUGAACUUAAGCAUAUCAAUAAGCGGAGGA
rnacentral:misc_RNA from 1 species